GGUCCGCUGGCUCAAUGGCAGAGCGUCUGACUACGAUGACUCUCUUCGGAGAUCAAGUAGGUACAUCAGGAGGUUCCAGGUUCGACCCCUGGGUGGAUCG
rfam:Chaetomium globosum CBS 148.51 scaffold_4 genomic scaffold, whole genome shotgun sequence.